GACGAACGCUGGCGGCGUGCUUAACACAUGCAAGUCGAACGGAAAGACCCUGCUUUUGUGGGGUGCUCGAGUGGCGAACGGGUGAGUAACACGUGAGUAACCUGCCCUUGACUUUGGGAUAACUUCAGGAAACUGGGGCUAAUACCGGAUAGGAGCUCCUGCUGCAUGGAGGGGGUUGGAAAGUGUCGGCGGUUGGGGAUGGACUCGCGGCUUAUCAGCUUGUUGGUGGGGUAGUGGCUUACCAAGGCUUUGACGGGUAGCCGGCCUGAGAGGGUGACCGGCCACAGUGGGACUGGGAUACGGCCCAGACGCCUACGGGAGGCAGCAGUGGGGAAUAUUGCACAAUGGGCGGAAGCCGGAUGCAGCAACGCCGCGUGCGGGAUGACGGCCUUCGGGUUGUAAACCGCUUUCGCCUGUGACGAAGCGUGAGUGACGGUAAUGGGUAAAGAAGCACCGGCUAACUACGU
rnacentral:rRNA from 1 species